rnacentral:rRNA from 1 species
AUGGACGCCCACCGUAACCGCAGCUUCUUCUUCGUCGUCGUCGUUGCUGCCGCUGCGAUGUUCACCAUGAGCUUCGUGGGGUGUGCCGACGCCGUGAGGCCCAUGCCAUCGAGCCCGGCGUCCUCCACCACGGCGUCCGCGCUGGUGUCGUCGUUGAUGGAGAUGCUACCCAUGGGGCCCAGCGGAGGAGGCGCGGGGCACUGA